rnacentral:ncRNA from 2 species
UACACUCGCAACCGAUCUGGUGCUCGCGCGCGCUUUUCCUGCGCGCGCAGUUAAACGGGAAACAGAAGCUCGCCGCGGCUCUCCUGCGCGGCAGGGCGAAACUGUGCUGCCCCCGCAACGGUAGGCGAGCGCAUCGCAUGACGCGAUGCAGAGCCGGCUUCUAUGCAUGUGCGCAAGGCCGCCCAUGCAGAUGACCACUGCGCAAGAAACAACAUUACUCGCGCGGGAAGGUGAAGCGGCGCUCUCGUCAGCCCGGAUACCGGCCAGAGCGGAGGACAGGCG